rnacentral:rRNA from 1 species
AACGCGAAGAACCUUACCUGGUCUUGACAUCCACGGAAGUUUUCAGAGAUGAGAAUGUGCCUUCGGGAACCGUGAGACAGGUGCUGCAUGGCUGUCGUCAGCUCGUGUUGUGAAAUGUUGGGUUAAGUCCCGUAACGAGCGCAACCCUUGUCCUUAGUUACCAGCACGUAAUGGUGGGCACUCUAAGGAGACUGCCGGUGACAAACCGGAGGAAGGUGGGGAUGACGUCAAGUCAUCAUGGCCCUUACGGCCUGGGCUACACACGUGCUACAAUGGUCGGUACAAAGGGUUGCCAAGCCGCGAGGUGGAGCUAAUCCCAUAAAACCGAUCGUAGUCCGGAUCGCAGUCUGCAACUCGACUGCGUGAAGUCGGAAUCGCUAGUAAUCGCGAAUCAGAAUGUCGCGGUGAAUACGUUCCCGGGUCUUGUACACACCG